rnacentral:rRNA from 1 species
GAUGAACGCUGGCGGCGUGCCUAAUACAUGCAAGUCGAGCGAACAGACGAUGAGCUUGCUCCUCUGACGUUAGCGGCGGACGGGUGAGUAACACGUGGAUAACCUACCUAUAAGACUGGGAUAACUUCGGGAAACCGGAUCUAAUACCGGAUAAUAUAUUGAACCGCAUGGUUCAAUAGUGAAAGACGGUUUUGCUGUCACUUAUAGAUGGAUCCGCGCCGCAUUAGCUAGUUGGUAAGGUAACGGCUUACCAAGGCAACGAUGCGUAGCCGACCUGAGAGGGUGAUCGGCCACACUGGAACUGAGACACGGUCCAGACUCCUACGGGAGGCAGCAGUAGGGAAUCUUCCGCAAUGGGCGAAAGCUUGACGGAGCAACGCCGCGUGAGUGAUGAAGGUCUUCGGAUCGUAAAACUCUGUUAUUAGGGAAGAACAAAUGUGUAAGUAACUAUGCACGUCUUGACGGUACCUAAUCAGAAAGCCACGGCUAACUACGUG